rnacentral:tRNA from 1 species
GGAGAGAUGCCGGAGUGGUUUAACGGGGCGGUCUCGAAAACCGUUGUCCUGCUUGCAGGACCGAGAGUUCGAAUCUCUCUCUCUCCG